rnacentral:rRNA from 1 species
UACGUAGGGUGCGAGCGUUAAUCGGAAUUACUGGGCGUAAAGCGUGCGCAGGCGGCGCGUUAAGACAGGUGUGAAAGCCCCCGAGCUUAACUUGGGAAUUGCGCUUGUGACUGGCGUGCUGGAGUGUGGCAGGAGGGAGGUGGAAUUCCACGUGUAGCAGUGAAAUGCGUAGAGAUGUGGAGGAACACCGAUGGCGAAGGCAGCCUCCUGGGCCAGCACUGACGCUCAUGCACGAAAGCGUGGGGAGCAAACAGG